rnacentral:rRNA from 1 species
UACGUAGGGUGCGAGCGUUAAUCGGAAUUACUGGGCGUAAAGCGUGCGCAGGCGGUUUUGUAAGCCAGAUGUGAAAUCCCCGGGCUUAACCUGGGAAUGGCAUUUGGGACUGCAAGGCUUGAGUGCGGCAGAGGAGACUGGAAUUCCUGGUGUAGCAGUGAAAUGCGUAGAUAUCGGGGGGAACACCAGUGGCGAAGGCGGCGACCUGGACGGACAUUGACGCUGAGGCGCGAAAGCUAGGGUAGCAAACGGG